GUGAGGAAUAUUGGUCAAUGGGCGCUAGCCUGAACCAGCCAAGUAGCGUGAAGGAUGACUGCCCUAUGGGUUGUAAACUUCUUUUAUAUGGGAAUAAAGUGCAGUAUGUAUACUGCUUUGCAUGUACCUUAUGAAUAAGGAUCGGCUAACUCCGUGCCAGCAGCCGCGGUAAUACGGAGGAUCCGAGCGUUAUCCGGAUUUAUUGGGUUUAAAGGGAGCGUAGGCGGGUUGUUAAGUCAGUUGUGAAAGUUUGCGGCUCAACCGUAAAAUUGCAGUUGAUACUGGCAUCCUUGAGUACAGUAGAGGUAGGCGGAAUUCGUGGUGUAGCGGUGAAAUGCUUAGAUAUCACGAAGAACUCCGAUUGCGAAGGCAGCCUGCUGGACUGUAACUGACGCUGAUGCUCGAAAGUGUGGGUAUCAAACAGGAUUAGAAACCCCUGUAGUCC
rnacentral:rRNA from 1 species